rnacentral:rRNA from 1 species
AAAGGGUGUGUAGGCGGAUUAAUAAGUCAGUGGUGAAAUCCCAUAGCUUAACUAUGGAACUGCCAUUGAUACUGUUAAUCUUGAAUAAAGUCGAGGUAGGCGGAAUUGAUGGUGUAGCGGUGAAAUGCAUAGAUAUCAUCAAGAAGACCGAUUGCGUAGGCAGCUUACUAGACUUCUAUUGACGCUGAGGCACGAAAGCGUGGGGAGCGAACAGGAUUAGAUACCCUGGUAGUCCACGCCGUAAACGAUGAUGACUCGCUGUUGGCAAUAUAUCGCCAGUGGCCAAGCGAAAGCGUUAAGUCAUCCACCUGGGGAGUACGUCGGCAACGAUGAAACUCAAAGGAAUUGACGGGGGCCCGCACAAGCGGAGGAACAUGUGGUUUAAUUCGAUGAUACGCGAGGAACCUUACCCGGGCUUAAAUGCAUAUUGACAGCUUGAGAAAUCAAGCCUCUUCGGGCAAUUUGCAAAGGUGCUGCAUG